CCUACGGGUGGCAGCAGUGAGGAAUUUUGGUCAAUGGGCGCGAGCCUGAACCAGCAAAGUAGCGUGAAGGAUGACUGCCCUACGGGUUGUAAACUUCUUUUUUAAUGGAAUAAAGUGAGGCACGUGUGCCUUUUUGUAUGUACUUCAUGAAUCAGGAUCGGCUAACUCCGUGCCAGCAGCCGCGGUAAUACGGAGGAUCCGAGCGUUAUCCGGAUUUAUUGGGUUUAAAGGGAGGGUAGAUGGGUUGUUAGGACAGUUGGGAAUGUAUGCGGAUCAACCGUAAAAUUCCAAUUGAUACUGGCAGUCUUGAGUACAGUUGGGGUAGGCGGAAUUCGUGGUGUAGCGGUGAAAUGCUAAGA
rnacentral:rRNA from 1 species